rnacentral:rRNA from 1 species
AUUGAACGCUGGCGGCAGGCCUAACACAUGCAAGUCGAGCGAGAGGCGGACGGGUGAGUAAUGUAUGGGGAUCUGCCCGCUAGAGGGGGAUAACUACUGGAAACGUUGGCUAAUACCGCAUACUAUCGGAUGAACCCCUAUGGGAUUAGCUAGUAGGUGGGGUAACGGGUCCCCUAGGCGACGAUCUCUAGCUGGUCUGAGAGGAUGAUCAGCCACACUGGAACUGAGACACGGUCCAGACUCCGACGGGAGGCAGCAGUGGGGAAUAUGGCACAAUGGGCGCAAGCCUUAUGCAGCCAUGCCGCGUGUGUGAAGAAGGCCUUCGGGUUGUAAAGCACUUUCAGCGAGGAGGCGUUACUCGCAGAAGAAGCACCGGCUAACUCCGUGCCAGCAGCCGCGGUAAUUC